GCCCUCCCUUUGCCCUUCCCACUAAUACUUAGUGUGACAAACGUGAGGUGGGUUUAGCUGAGGGCUAAUAAAGUAUAGAAGAAAAGGCCAGAGGAAGUUUUAUUUCCACGAUACAGCCACCAAUGCCAAUAACAAAACACAAGCCUAACUAUAUUCAUAUUCAUCAAGAAGUUUUCUUUCAACUUUCUUCCAUUAGGGUAGGGACUAGGGAAGGCGUUCUACGUGGUUGAUUCGUACGACAUAAGUCACCUAUUAGAUCCAGACGUGGGCAAACUACUAAUUUUUCGUUAGUCCGCUAAUAUGUUAAUUUUCUUGACUGUUUCGCUAUCGUUAAUUCCUAUAAUUUAGUAGGUUUAUGGCUCCGCUUACGCAAAAGAUCGGGGGCACUUUAUAUUGGUCAAGAAGGCCAGCUUUAAGUGUUAGUUCUUGAGACUUCUUCGACACUUGACCUCGUGGAAGUGGUUCUAACAGCGGUACAUGACUAAAGUAGUGGGUUAAGAAAUCUAUCCUUUCGAAAACUGGAUUUAAGCGAUCCCAUUAAAAACUAACUCAAAAACGUCAAUUAUAGCACGGAUCUAAUAGGGUAUCAAAACCCUGCAUUCACAUCCGCACAACUGCAUUUUUGGAACAUUUAUUUGAAUGAGAAUUUAUUUGGGCGAUGUUAAUUUCAGAGAUAUUUUAAUAUAAUAACCAUUAGAAGACAAAAAGAGAACAAAAUUGACCAUAAAUCUAAGGUUAACCCUCCUAACAUUCUCACUGAGAAUAAUGGGAGGAUUGUGCAUCCUUUUUUAAGAUUCUACUCUACAGAGACCCAUCGAGCGAAGUGAUUGAACCUUAUCACACUCAAUUAGUUUUAUUUUUAUUUUUUCCAUCACAAAAACUUGCAGAGUUCAUACUAAAUCUAACGAAAGUCUUAAUUGCUCCUGCUUUACUUAUUUCAUUUGAUUUUAAAAGUAAAUUUAUAUUCCAUGAAUAAUAAUAAUAUUAGUUAACAGAAUUAAAAUGGCACAGUACAAUGA
rnacentral:lncRNA from 1 species